rnacentral:rRNA from 1 species
UACGUAGGGUGCAAGCGUUAAUCGGAAUUACUGGGCGUAAAGCGUGCGCAGGCGGUUGUGUAAGACAGAUGUGAAAUCCCCGGGCUCAACCUGGGAACUGCAUUUGUGACUGCACAGCUGGAGUGCGGCAGAGGGGGAUGGAAUUCCGCGUGUAGCAGUGAAAUGCGUAGAUAUCAGGAGGAACACCUGCGGUGUAGACGGCUUACUGGACCGUAACUGACGCUGAGGCACGAAAGCGUGGGUAGCAAACAGG